ensembl:lncRNA
UAAUGGGGCACUCAAACAGGAUCCCCAGGUCGGUGGGACAUCCAUGAGAUGGAAAAGAAUGAAGGCCAGGCUUGAUGGGUUCCUGGACAGAUCUAGAGGUUGGCAACCCUGCUCAAGAAGACUCAGCUGCACGCGGAUUGAGUACAUGAGCUUGGCUGCUCACCUGGACUCUGCAGAGAACAGAGCAGAGCUCAAAAGAUCAGCUGGCUCAGUGGAAGCCAAGAAGAGAUAGAACAUGCUUAAGACUUGGAAAUUCUAGUAUUCGUCUAUAAUUUUGAUAUUAUCAAAGAAUACUUUAAAAAGAAGCAUCUGUGGGACCUAUGAUUUGAAAGAAACUUCAGAGAAAGAUUUUCAAAUGCCAGAGGUAACUGAACAGUCCAGAGGAAAAUAACAAAGAAAAGGUGAAGAAGAAUGGUACGUUCCUUACUGGAGACACAAAACCUCAGGUUUGAUUCUCAUUAAAGCAAAUAAAUAGAUUUGCCUAUGACCAAACUUUCCAUUUUUUUUUCAAGACUUAUUUGCUAAGAAUUUGAGAAAAUGUGAAUAAAGAAAAUGUGAGGCACCAAAAAAGAAAGAGGGAGGCCUCAUGACACAGAGCACACAAUAUAUCUAUGGAAGUCCAACUAGAUCAAAAACUUGCUUGCAGCUGCCUUAUAAGCAAGAUGCAAACCACAGAAAUGUAGGAAGACUUUUGCUUUAAAAAAAAAAAAAAAGAAAAAAGCAAGCAUUCUGAUAAGAGUGAGCAAGAGCAGGACUGAAGAGGAAGCCAUGGAAUUAAAAAAUGAUAUUGCUUUCUGUUUCAUAACAACUGGCAGACAGGGAACAGCUCCUUGGGUGUGGAAAGUAAGCACAGGAAAUUAUGUGUAAUUUCCCUAUAAUUUAGAACUUCUCUCAUUCUGUACCAUGAUGAAAACAAAUCCUCUGCACACAAAAAGGCAUAGUAACUCUUGAAUGGAUCCUCUUCAUUCAAGGCCUAAUAAAAUUUGUUCUUUCAGUUGUCUGAAAUGUUUAAGAGUGUAAGGAGCACCCUCUGCUGCCCUGAGCCACAUAAAAAUUGUGUGGAUUCUAGCGCUUUAUUAGGAUUUUAGUAUGAGCACUAAAAGUCUGGCUCUUGACAGUCUGACCUCUGGCAUACACUAAAGGGACUCUUUAUGUGGUGCCACACUGAAAUUUCCCUUUCAUAGCAGUUUCAAGGUGCUUAAAGAAAUGGGUUGCAACUGGAAGAGAGGAGUGUGUUUAUCUCUAAUGUAAAGAUCCACGUUUCACCCAAACAAAAGGGAAUGGAAGAAUGGAAUUUUGUUUGGAUUCUUAUAUUUGCACACAAACAAACAAACAAAUUCUGAUUGAAUUCCAAGUGCUAACAUUAAAGAAGUGACCAAGAAGAAAAUGAGGCUCAAGUUGUACUGUUAUACCAAAAUGAAGGACGGCUGCUGUUAAAUAAUGCAAGAAAUAUCUGGGACUUUCUGAAGUUUUAGAAGAGGCCUAUCACUGUCUUUGAAGAGUUAAGAAAAACUGUUUAUGAUCAGAAUAUUUCUUUCUUUCAGAAUAAUCCUGUUGCAGAGUUUUCUGCAUAUUUUAGGACUUGCCUGUAGGUAUAGUCAGUUUGAAGUAGUGUUGGUGUGAAUUUCAAAAGCAAAGGAUGAUUUUGAGAAAUUCUAUGCUAGGCAAGGAAUAAUCAUGUACUUACAUAGCCCCCACUACUUUAGCAUGUAAAAUAACUUUGCUAUAUGAUCAUGUUAGAUGCUGGACAAACCAAGUGUACUAAUGAUCCCUACUCAGAAUAGCACAAGACUGAGACUGUCCUGCUGAAGUUAUCCCAUUUCC